rnacentral:rRNA from 1 species
GGCGUGCCUAACACAUGCAAGUCGAACGGGGAGUUAGAAUAACUCCAAGUGGCGAACGGGUGAGUAACGCGUAGACAACCAACCUUCUAGAUGGGGACGAACACUGCGAAAGUGGUGCUAAUACCGAAUAAGCUCGAAGCUAUGCAUAUGGAAUCGAGGAAAGGUGGCCUCUAUAAAAAAGCUACCGCUAGAAGCUGGGUCUGCGUCUGAUUAGCUAGUUGGCGGGGUAAGAGCUCACCAAGGCGACGAUCAGUAGCCGGUCUGAGAGGAUGAACGGCCACACUGGGACUGAGACACGGCCCAGACUCCUACGGGAGGCAGCAGUGGGGAAUCUUCCGCAAUGGACGAAAGUCUGACGGAGCAACGCCGCGUGAGUGAAAGAAGGCCUUCGGGUCGUAAAGCUCUGUUAAUAGGGACGAAAGAACUGUGUGUAAAUAAUGCACAGAAGUGACGGUACCUAGGGAGGAAGCCACGGCUAACUACGUGCCAGCCGCUGC